GCUCUGGUGGCGCAAUUGGUUAGCGUAUGAGGCUUUUAACCUUAGGGUUGUGGGUUCGAGUCCCACCCAGAGCG